rnacentral:rRNA from 1 species
UACGGAGGGAGCUAGCGUUGUUCGGAAUUACUGGGCGUAAAGCGCACGUAGGCGGCUUUGUAAGUUAGAGGUGAAAGCCUGGAGCUCAACUCCAGAAUUGCCUUUAAGACUGCAUCGCUUGAAUCCAGGAGAGGUGAGUGGAAUUCCGAGUGUAGAGGUGAAAUUCGUAGAUAUUCGGAAGAACACCAGUGGCGAAGGCGGCUCACUGGACUGGUAUUGACGCUGAGGCACGAAAGCUGGGGGAGCGAACAGG